rnacentral:rRNA from 1 species
AAAACGGAGGAAGUGGGGAUGACGUCAAAUCAUCAUGCCCCUUAUGUUCUGGGCUACACACGUGCUACAAUGGCCGGUACAGACGGAGGCGAAGCCGCGAGGCGGAGCAAAUCCGAAAAAAGCCGGUCUCAGUUCGGAUUGCAGGCUGCAAUUCGCCUGCAUGAAGUCGGAAUCGCUAGUAAUCGCAGGUCAGCAUACUGCGGUGAAUACGUUCCCGGGCCUU